rnacentral:rRNA from 1 species
ACUCAAAGGAAUAGACGGGGGCUCACACAAGCGGUGGAGCAUGUGGCUUAAUUCGAGGCAACGCGAAGAACCUUAUCCUAGGCUUGACAUGGUUGGAUGUGUUACCUGAAAGGGAUAACAUUGCCUUCGGGUGAAACAAUCACAGGUGCUGCAUGGCUGUCGUCAGCUCGUGUCGUGAGAUGUCGGGUUAAGUCCCUUAACGAGCGAAACCCCUGUCCUUAGUUGCCAGCAUUCAGUUGGGGACUCUAAGGAGACCGCCGGUGUUAAACCGGAGGAAGGCGGGGACGACGUCAAGUCAUCACGGCCUUUAUGCCUAGGGCUGCACACGUGCUACAAUGGUGCGCACAAAGGGAAGCAAACUCGCAAGAGCCAGCAAAUCUCAAAAAACGUACCUCAGUUCAGAUUGCAGGCUGCAACUCGCCUGCAUGAAGCUGGAAUCGCUAGUAAUCGCAGAUCAGCUAUGCUGCGGUGAAUGUGUUCCUGAGCCUUGCACACACCGCCCGU